rnacentral:lncRNA from 1 species
GGUUUAGAGUUAAGAGGUGGGGUUUAAGGAUUUUGGGUUUAGGAUUUAGGGUUUAUAGUUUAGGGUUUAGAGUUUAGGGGUGGGGUUUAGGGUUUAGAGUUUAGAGUUUAGAGUUUAUGGGUGGGGAUUAGGGUUUAGGGUUUAGAGUUAAGGGGUGGGGUUUAGGAUUUAGGGUUUAGGGUUUAGGAUUUAGGGUUUAGAGUUUAGAGUUUAGGGUUUAGAGUUUCAGGGUGAGGUUUAGGGUUUACGGUUUAGAGUUAAGGGGUGGGAUUUAGGAUUUAGGGUUUAGGAUUUAGGGUUUAGAGUUUAGGGUUUAGAGUUUAGGUUUUAGGGUUUAGAGUUUAGGUUUUAGGGUUUAGAGUUGGGGAGUGGGGUUUUGGGAUAAGAUUUCAAAUUUUGAAAAAUAAAUAAAAUUUAAAUUUUUCAAAAAAUAAAAUGUUAUUUUGGUCAUUUUAGUUU